CACGUAGGGCGCGAGCGUUGUCCGGAAUUAUUGGGCGUAAAGAGCGUGUAGGCGGCCUGAAAGGUCAGCUGUGAAAACUCGAGGCUCAACCUCGAGACGUCGGUUGAAACCAUCUGGCUAGAGUCCGGAAGAGGAGUGUGGAAUUCCCGGUGUAGCGGUGAAAUGCGCAGAUAUCGGGAAGAACACCCGUGGCGAAGGCGGCACUCUGGGACGGUACUGACGCUGAGACGCGAAAGCGUGGGGAGCGAACAGG
rnacentral:rRNA from 1 species